GUGGGGAGGGGGGAGCAGAUGCCGCUGGUUGCGCGCGGGAGCCGGGCGCUAGCAGAGCGCAGCCGCGAGGGAGGCGCGGGGGAGGCGAGCGGGAGCCCGAGCCCAAGCAGCAGCUAGUGUUGGCGGAGGGCACCCGGGCGCAGCUGGAGCAGCAGCCGCGAUGGCCGUGGCCGUGGGGAGACCAUCUAAUGAAGAGCUUCGAAACUUGUCUCUUUCCGGCCAUGUUGGAUUUGACAGUCUCCCCGACCAGCUGGUCAACAAGUCGACUUCUCAAGGAUUCUGUUUCAACAUCCUGUGUGUUGGCGAGACGGGCAUUGGCAAAUCCACGUUAAUGGACACUUUAUUCAACACCAAAUUUGAAAGUGACCCAGCUACUCACAAUGAACCAGGUGUCCGGUUAAAAGCCAGAAGUUAUGAGCUUCAGGAAAGCAAUGUACGGCUGAAGUUAACCAUCGUUGACACUGUGGGAUUUGGAGACCAGAUAAAUAAGGAUGACAGCUAUAAGCCGAUCGUGGAAUAUAUCGAUGCCCAGUUUGAGGCCUACUUGCAAGAGGAAUUGAAGAUCAAACGUUCUCUCUUCAACUACCACGACACCAGGAUCCACGCAUGCCUCUACUUCAUUGCCCCCACUGGACAUUCGCUGAAGUCCCUGGACCUGGUCACCAUGAAGAAGCUGGACAGUAAGGUGAACAUCAUUCCAAUCAUUGCAAAAGCUGACACCAUUGCCAAGAACGAAUUGCACAAAUUCAAGAGUAAGAUCAUGAGUGAACUAGUCAGCAAUGGAGUCCAGAUAUAUCAGUUCCCCACAGACGAAGAAACGGUGGCAGAAAUUAAUGCAACGAUGAGUGUCCACCUCCCUUUCGCAGUGGUCGGCAGCACCGAGGAGGUGAAGAUUGGCAACAAGAUGGCAAAGGCCAGGCAGUACCCCUGGGGUGUGGUGCAGGUUGAGAAUGAAAACCACUGUGAUUUUGUGAAACUUCGGGAGAUGCUGAUCCGUGUGAACAUGGAAGACUUGCGAGAACAGACUCACACCCGCCAUUAUGAGCUGUAUCGGCGCUGUAAGCUCGAAGAGAUGGGGUUCAAGGACACCGACCCUGACAGCAAGCCCUUCAGUCUUCAGGAGACAUACGAAGCAAAAAGGAAUGAAUUUCUGGGAGAACUUCAGAAGAAAGAAGAAGAAAUGAGACAGAUGUUUGUCAUGAGAGUGAAGGAGAAAGAAGCUGAACUUAAGGAGGCAGAGAAAGAGCUCCACGAGAAGUUCGACCUCCUAAAGCGGACACACCAAGAAGAGAAGAAGAAAGUGGAAGACAAGAAGAAGGAACUCGAGGAGGAGGUGAACAAUUUCCAGAAGAAGAAGGCGGCAGCUCAGUUGCUACAGUCCCAGGCCCAGCAGUCUGGGGCCCAGCAAACCAAGAAAGACAAGGAUAAGAAAAAUGCAAGCUUCACAUAAAGCCUGGCAAGCCAAGGAUGGUCCGCAUUCACCUGCUUUUGCAGUAAUAUUGUAUCUCUGCCAUCUGUGUCCUUUUGUUUUGUUUUAUUUUUAUUUUUUUCCCUUUCCCAGACACCAUAUAACUAUUAACUCAUUUUGCUGAAUGUUGUUUGGUGGCGGAAAAUGAUAGAAAAAGGGGAUAACAGCAAAAGCUAUGUGCAGCCGGACUUUGUUUCUGGAAAGCAAAUCAUUUGCCUUUUAUGCCUGUUCAGAGUGGCAGCAGGAAGCAUGCCUGUUCUGUUACUUUUAUGUUGCUUUGGACCAAGGGAAGGAGGCUAAAUUGCUACAUGUACGUCUGACAGGAAAACUUUUCACCGCCUCAGCAGCUGACUAUAAACCUGAAUAGCCAUGACAACUUGCUCUCCUUGAUUAUUCGUCUCCAUGACGCAAAAGGCCCUGAACUCCCUCUGUCUCUUUUCCACACCUGCCCUGAACCAAGGUAGCUUUGUAUGUAGGCAGAACGGUGGGUAAGCUUUACCUGACUUUUACCCUUGCGUGGAGUUUUUUUAUUACUAUAACAACAUCAUUUGGCCUGGGUUGUGGGUCUGUUCAGACUGACUGCCUCCUCUUAUGGCUUUAAAAAUGUGUCUGAACCCCUGUGUCUCGAAUCCUGGCCAAGUGGGAUUGUAAUAAGAAAAUGAUGAGUCUGUUCCCUUGUAUCAGGGCAACCAUGGCCCUCUCACAGAUCAUACAACCUUGUUUAGUAGAAGAAUCUUCUACUAAGGAUGACGGGCUUUCCACAACCUGCCUACUACUUACAAGAUCCAGUCUUUUCAUAAACACACCUAAAUCUGCUCUCAGUAGGCUGAGAGAGGAGGGCCUAAUGACUGACUCCAGGGUAUCGAGUGCUUCUAAUAACAGUUUUCAAUAAUUAUGAGGAGAAAUUUUCCAGCAAUAUUUAAAAUAGAAAAUCUGUUAUAAACUGUAUCAUCUGCAGCACAAGUUUGAGGGGGCCUUGUCAACUUAAGGUAGAAGUGGGAAGGAACAUAAUAUAAACCCACAAGUCAAGAAAGCAGAAAUUCAGCUUCACAUCCAGUUUCCUUGCAUAGUCUCUUUUUGAUAUUUGCAGUAAAGGCAUGAUGGAAUAGAACAGCUGGUGUUUCAAAUCCACUUGUCUUGAAGGAAUUUCCUCACCUUUUCCUUCACGAAGACUAGCUCUACCUGCUCUUUGCGUUUAAGGCCCCAGUGCCCCAUUGACAAGGGUUAGGACUUAACCAUAUGGCAGGACAUAGACUACAUGCCAAAUUUGUAUGGAAAAGGGCAUAUCUAAUUUCUUUUCUGUACUUUUCCUUUUUGAGGCUUAUCCUUUCAUUUCCUUGAUUUUUUUCCCCCUCUAAUAACAAGAUACUCGCAGCUUUCUCUCUAACUCUGUAGUCUCCUGUUUCUUACUUGAAAGAAUAACAUUUCUCACGAACCUGAUACUUCACCUCUGCAUUUUCCUUUUGGCCUUCACUAGUCAUACAUUAAUCAAAUAGGAUAGAAUACACACACACUUACACACACUUUUUUUUUUUUUUAAUAAGUCUCUAAUUGAUUCCAAUGAAGACUUUUUUCCCUUCUCUUUAUCCUCAACCACACUAUUAUGGGACAGAAGGAAUGGUCGUCCAUGAACUGAUUUAGGCUUAAUUAGGCAAAGUAAGAAAUCAGUUUCAUGGAAGCCGAAACUAAGCUGGGAUACAAACUGCAAACCAGAAGCAGCAACAGUGAUAUAAAGACAGGCUUAGGAGCUACUGGACCAAUGUUUUUGUUUUUGCUUUUGCUUUUUUAAUGAUUCUAGUCUGAAGCUGGCUAUCAGGCAGCAUGCUGAUUCUAACCAUGGGCCGAGUUUGCUCAGAUGCUGUGCACCAGACAGAAGCUUGAACACUUGUGUUGUAUGCUUGUUCCAGCCAUUGCUUGUGUGAGCAUUUUCAUGCCUUGUAACAGGAAAUACACUUCUAAAUUCUAAAAAUGCAUCACUUUACAAUUUUCAUUUUACGUGCAUCACUAAAGCCUUUUUAAAGUGAGCCUAGCCACGAAAGGCAUCCAGCUGACGUUUUGAUUCCAAGAUUGUUGAUUGACUGGAUUGAUUUUUCUUUUCCCAUUAAAUUUUUCACAGAAAAAUAAAUCAUGUGGAGAGUCAGGGAAUAAAAAGUCAAAGAAAACAUAUAAAAGCUUUUUUAAAAAAUGCAUUGCUUCUGAACUUUUUUCUGCCCCUGCUCCCUGGCCCUGUUUGGUUUGUUAUUGCUGCCCUCUCUUCUUUCUGUAUCUGUGCCUUUUUUCACAGUAGUCCUUGGCUCUGCACGGAAUAAAUGAUACCCUCAAAUCUAAUUGGAUGUGCUUUCGCCUUUGCAUCUUCUUCUUUAUGUAACCAUCCUGUUGACAAGCCCUACUCUCUCCUAAUGGACAUAGAGCAUUAGAAGAGCAGGAGCUGUCUGUUCACACGUGUUGGGGAAGAGUUACCUCAUUUCCACCAUCGCCUCCUAUUCUUUUAAAGUCUGGGUCAAAUAUUGCACUGCUGUUUGUAUUUGUCAAUGUCUGUUUACAAACCACUGCCCAUAGUGGUUACUUAAGUGACUUAUCACCACCAAAAACAGUAAUACCUAAUACUACUACUUAAAAGGAAAUUGAGUGAAACAGAGAACUUGGGCCAAAACCCAAGGUAGCCCUGUGUUGGGAUCCUCUUGCUUAGCUGUCAUGUUCUUGAAGCUGCUGACACAAGAACUCACGGACUGAAGACAGCAUGGACCCUAAUCUGAGGGUCCACAGACUUGAUCUCAUGUUAACUCCAGACCUCUGUCCCAUGAGUGACAUUCUGAACAGCCCGAUCAGGACCCUCUACCGUCAAUCAGGUCAUAAGAUCGGGGCAACAGUUUUCCUUCCUUUUGUUAGCUUUGUGGGUUGUUUUGAAGUUUGGGGUUUUUUUUCUAAACACUUGAUAUUGCAUGAACAAAGAUGGCUGCAUUUUUUUAAUUUGGAGUGUUCUAUUGAUACAAUGUUUUUAUUUUUCAGCUGACCGUCUGCCUCUUGAGAGAGAGAAGUGGGCAUCCUUCCUUUAAAUUCAGGAACCAUUGUUGUUUUAUUUGACUCUUUUUCUGUUACCUGCACCCCUCAUCUAAGUUUUCGGGGUUUGGGAUUCUGUUUUGGAAAAAAAAAAAUUUUCCUACUUAGCCAGUUCUGUUCUAUGUAUUGGUUAUUCAAACUUAGUUUUGGUAUCAAAAUUAUGCCAAUUUUAAGCUCAAGGGGAAAUUUAAAUGAAGUUUUAAGUCACAGAAUUCUGUUUAAGAUGCUCUCCUCAUCUCAGAUAUAACAACAAAAUCCCUGUGCUGUCACUGGGAUUUUGACCUACAAGUCUUAAUCAUGUUUAAAAUGUGCCAGUGUUAGGUAGAUGACUUUUCUGCCUCUGGGACUCAAUUUAUAUUUAAAGGUACCUUAAAAUAACUUUCUGGCCCAUCCCUGCCUUUUUAUUUAUUGCGAAGCUCUUCUUUACCUUGUGUCCAGUUUUUGUGUCCUGGACCAUGGAAACAAACCCCCGACAAGUACAUAUCCUGUCCCAGACAACAGCAACAGUGACUUAACGUUGGUUCUGAUCAGGUGGCUUACUCCACUGUGUCUGCAAAAAAAAAAAAAAAAAUCUGGAAAUCACUUAAAAUAUACCCACAUGCAAACACACACACUUCUGCCAGUUGAGUCUUUGAGUUCUAAUGCUGACUCGUUUGUGACAGGCUAUUUUAUUAGCAGCCACCUCUUAGGUGCAGUUUUUGUAGUCAAGGUACAGUUUUCAAAUUCAUUUCUAUUUUAAGGCAUGAACACGCAUUUUAAGUUACCUUUUCAUUUCAUUACUUGUCAAUAGUCUGCUUAUUUCCAUCAUUUUUUAGCCCCAUAGUAGGUGGAUAUUGGUGGCGUGAAUUGCAUCUGGUAAAGAUCUUAAGAGUGUUCCCUUGUAUUUAAGAAUGGUAACAUAUGCUUCUGUUGAAAGGUGAAAUGAUGAAACAACAGUCCCUGCUUCUUGAAGCAUUUGAUUCUUGGAAGAGGUUAUUUAGACCAAUUGGAGGAGCUUGCUGGCAAGGGGCCUUCUUUACUUAGAAAGACACUAUUAUUAAAUGCAACAAAAUCAGGUUCAUCUGAGCCAUUAAAUGAUUAAAAUAUAAGAGUCAAGAGCCAUCCCCUCCAUACUACAGUGUAAUCUGUAAGGACAGAAAUUUGCUAAUGAUGUGACCGCUGGUUUGCGCGUGGAUGGUGGGUAUCAACUCCUUAACUGAUGCUACAGCAUGACAUACUGUCAGGUUUGUAAGUUAAACACGAACAUCCUGUUGUGUGAAACCACUGUGAUUACUAAGUACAACAAUUGGAUUUAUUUUUAAACUCCUUUUAAUAUUUUAAUAUCAACUUUACCCUAUCACUCAUAUUUUAAAAGUAAAUUCUGCAUCAGAUUGUAAAGACAUUUUUGGCAAUAUUUAAAAAGCAAAUUAGGCAGUAUUUUUUGUGUUUGUUUAAGUAGAGAAAUGUGUAAUCUAUUUCUGUUAUUCCCUUUUUAAUCUUCAUGUUGGAGGAAGUGUAAUGGUAAUCAUCUUAAUGGGAGGGGUGAGGGAACUGGCUAUUACAUGCAGGUUGGCCUCUGUUCAGUUAUCUAGGGAAAGUGGAUAAGACACCACUGGUCAAGUACACAGCUAUCCUCCAUUGAUUUGGCAUUUUACUUAAGGUGGUUCCUUUUCUCAAAUGUUGAUAAAACUGGUAGGUUCUCAAGUUCUCUUGGCUGACCAACUAAGAGAUACGAAUAAUAAAAACUACUCGUUUAUCUCAAGCUAGAUUGCUGGAAAGCAGGGAGAACUGAGCUAUCUGAACCUAUUUCCAUUGGUGAUAGGCUUUUUAUUUUUCAUACAGUCUUUAAAACAAAAACCUUACUUGACUUCAGAUACAGACUCGGCCUUAUUGCUGAAAAGUGAGUGUAGUCUAGAUGGUCUACUUGAGAUAGGCACAGCACACGUAUAAAGGAGAGACCUGAUCUGAAUUAGUAUGUGCUGAGCUGGGUCAGAUAAAAUUAGGUCAUCUUCCCAAUAGGCUUGACCAUACUUUUCCCCAUCAACUGUACCUAAACGUCCUUCUUAGUUAUUUUGGUUAUUUUUCUGCCUAUCAUUGUCCCAGCUUAUGGGUAAAAGUUCUGGAUAUCUGAAAAAGUAAGUACAUAAUUUUCACUGUAUUUAAAUGACAUUUCUAUGCAAAGCCUUUUGCUUUGCAGAUGACUGUCAUCUUUCCACCCUGGAGACUGACAGUGUUGGCAAUGUGGCUCAUUUUGAAGAUCCUUGUACUUGAAUCCUUAAGACCAUGGUAUUUAGUCCUUGAGACUGAUACCAUCUGGCUUUCAGAUCAAUCUCUAGCAAACAACUGGCACCCUCAGGGCUGGUGUAGAGGUUGAAUGUGUUAAUCUAAAAAGACUAAUUGCGAGCCUCGGUAUCUGCUCACCUCGCUUUCCAACCUUCCUAUUCUGACAGGUAGCUGUUUACAAGUGAGAUCUUUUGGUUGUUAGUGGAACAUCGUGGGAGGUACAGAUGAAGACUUCACAUCUGCCUCAAAUCAGUUAUUUGCAUGCUGUGAGUUGAAUGGCAUUUCAGUCCACUAUGGAAACUUCCUUUCAAAAUCAUGGCACCUAGAUCAGAGGAGGCAGAGGCUAUUAUCACAAGGUUGGUCCCUGUCAAAAAGAAAACUUGUGUAUGGUGGGGAGGGUGCAGAAUAACAUUCCACGAAGAACUCUGCUUAACCAUGCCUUCUCUGCACCGUGCGUUGAGAAUACUGAAGGGUUGCAGUUCUAGCUCUCCUUGCCCUUUAUUUAUAUCCAUCCAUCUUUCCCACACACACACCCCCCCAAUUCUUUUUUUUAUUCUAUAUACUGCACCAGGCCUACAUUAGGUACUGUGGAUGUAGCCACGCACUAUGAAUUGCAUGUCUCUCUGCAUACCUCAAACACAGCAAAUUCUGGGGGUAAACAGAAAAGGUAAGCCCUUUCUAUGCUAAAUUGUGAGAGAGAGUAUUCUGAAAAGCAAAACCCACCUCCACCCCCAAUUGCUUUUCAGUGGUUUCUUUCUUAAGGUUGCCCUUCUUUCUGGAGUGUUCUCUUGCUAACAAAAUAAGCUGUUUCUGAGAAUGAGAAACCAGUUUACUGGGCCUAUGCUUUUCUACACUGCCCUACUGUUGUGUAACACGAUAAGGUCAACAGUUUUGGCAUCUGAUCUGCUAUGAAGGUUGUACUUCAAGAGUCAAGAGAAAUGGAGAGGUUCAGCCUCCUGGAAACUUCAACACUAGUGUUUUGUGCUCUCUUCAGAUUUCUCUAUCUGAUAAGACGUUCUUGGUUACCUCUCAUGACACCUUUUCAAUAAUCAAGAGAUGGCCCAGGGAGAGUUAUGUGUGUGUGCUACACAUGGGUCUUACAUCAUAAAACCCACUGCAGAUGGUCCCUGACUUAAGAUGGUUUGACUCACAAGUUUUUGGUUUUAUGAUAGUGUGAAAGUGAUAUGCAUUGAGCAGAAACCGUAUUUCUGAAUUUGGAUCUUUUCCUGGGCUUGCAAUACGCAGUUUGGAUGCUCAUUUCGCUGGGCAGUGGCAGCGAGCUGCAGCUCCCAGUCAGCCAAUGCAAUCACAAGGGUAAACAACGGAUACACUUAGAAGCAUUGUUUUUCAAUUCAGUAUUCAAUAAAUUCCAUAGAAUAUUCAAUACUUUAUUAUAGAACAGACUUUGUGUUAAAUGAUUUUGCCCAACUGUAAGGUUACUGUAAGUGUUCUGAGCACAGCUGAGGUAGACUAGGCUAAGCUGUGAUGUUCAGUAGGUUAGGUGCAUUAAACGCAUUUUCGACUUAAGGAUAUUUUCAACUUACGAUGAGUUUAUCGGGAUGUAACCGCACUGUAAAUAAAGGAAGGUCUGUAAACUCAUCAGUAUGGUGAGGGAAAGCUUUCAUUUUAACUCCUUAAUGCAAGCUGUGCUACAAAGCCUGUACUUCAUCUUUUCUGUCCUAAUGAUUGGUCAGAUCCAGCUCAAAAUGAAAGCAGCAAGCUUUUGGGAGUUGGCUAUUUUCAAGUAUUCUCAAUUCGAAGUUAUCUUGCAGGACCAAACAAUGAACGAGUAUUAGGAUUUUUAAUUUGCAAAACUUUUUUUUUUUUUUUGGUACGAGACAUACUUAGCCACCAUCUGUCCCAAACCAUGGCAGAUAUUGCUAAUUUCCCUCAGUCCCACACACACAGGCCUCCUAUGGCUUACGUGAUGUGAACUUGUAACUGCAAAUGAUGCUGAUGCAUUGCUUAGCAACAAGAGGUGAGCGCUCAACUGCUCAUUCCCACACAGUAAGCCCAGUUUCUCCCUGAAACUUAAAAAGAUGUUCUAUUUUUUCUAAAAGCACCAUCUAGUGGCCAAAGCUCAAAACAUUAUAAAUGAGCAUAGGAGACAUUCUCCUGUUAACACAGUUUAAAGGCUAGUUUCAACAAUUUUGGAGGCUUUAGAAAUAACAAUUACAUGUUAGACAAAACAUCAUAUCUCAAAGCUUUAUCCUUUAUAUUUGGUAAGUCGGAAAUUGAACCUUGUUAAAAAUUCUUGGCUAUGUGGACAAUUCUCUAAUCUUCAACCUGCUAUGUCCCAGGAGGGUUGUGAAGAAAGACAUCUGGCACAGUAUCUUCCCUUUCCAGUUGGAAAUGUACAAACUACCUUAAGGAUGAAGAUAACAAGGCUCCCCGUUAUGCCUGCUGAGCGUCAGUGGCUUGAACCACAUUGUGCUGUUUCGGGCAGUGAUGUUCAAGGACAACUUACUUUCUUGUUUCAGGAACUCCAAAGGAGUGAAUUAGAAAUCCUGAAAAUCCAGGUAUGUAAAGAGAAUAGACAGGACAUACAUACGUGUUGGUUCUAAUGACAUAGGAGAAAAGAAAGAAUACUUCUUCGGGGGCAGACGCCAAUGUCUUAACUCCCUCAAUGGCAGGACUGUAGGCUCCGAUUCUCAUCAGCUUGGCCAAGUGAGGAGCUACGCUACAGCUUCUUUCAGAGCCGAAGGCAUGGUGUCAGGAACAUUUCUGACAAAUCAGUUGUAUCAGUCUUUUUAAGUGGCAUUUGAGAGCACUCUCCUUUCCCAGCCCUCCCCUCCACACUAAUGUAAGACAUCAUCUGCAGAAAAUUCAGUUCUCCACAGGUAACGAACUUCAACCCUGAAAGACAAGUAAUUGUUCGGCUACUCCUAGUAAGAGCUUCAAGAGCUAGAGCAUGCACUUUCACUUCUGUUGAAUGGAGGAUUAGAGAAGAACUAAUUUCUCCCAUCAUGUUUAUUCCCUUGCCUUUGCAGAGCCUUUGUGGAAUAACAGGUUUUCUCACCACCAGGAGGCACCAGGCAAUCGUGAUCCAUAAAGCUCGAGUUUCCAAAUCUUGGAAGAGAGUAAUUGUGGUGUGAUGCCAAGAUUUAAGACAGGUAUCUUGGGACAGGCUAAUGAGAAUAGUUUCUGAUAAAACAGGAUCUAAUUUAACAGUAGGAACAUUCUUAAUGAAAAGUUCCACACUGUUCAAGAAUGUUCUGCUUUUUUCUGUCUCAGUCCGUGAGUUCAGGCCCCAGAGAGCCAAAGUUCUCCAAGAGCUCAUGGUAGCGCAGGUCUCUGGGACAGUGGCAGGGAGAUGUAACUGAAAGGGUGCUCAGGAGGGGCUGGUCUCCAAAGUACUAUCAUUUAACUGAUCUAUGGGUUAAAUAAGCUUUGAGGCAUGAGACCUAGCAGCAGCCCAACCAUUCCAAUUCAGUUUCCCAUGAAAAUACUUUUUUCCAAAUGGACUUACCAUCCAUUUUUGAUUAGAAAGCCUCAAGAUCAAGAAAUUAAAAUAUUAUUUCUAACUUCUGUACCAUCUGUAUGUAGCAACUGGACCACAAAUGAAAUAUUCUGAUUCUAGACUCAACUUUAUCCCUAGCUUUCUACAUAACAAAAAUGUUCCUCAUUUGUUAAGUGGAAGUGGGCAGGGGGUUACGUAGCAUUUAUUUUAAUGAUGAACAUUUGUAGUUGUGGACUUCCUGGAGCUCCCACAAUUCAGGAGAAUUAAGAAACAGAACCAGAUGAAGAUUAGGAUAAGUGGGAUUUUUUUUUUUUUAUGUGUAUCUGCAAAGCCAGCCUCAUGCUGUCUUCACCCCAAAAAUAGUUCAUUCUUCUAUAUUCCUUCUUACUCCCUGUACUUACUUACACGUAAGUUUCCCCCUUGACUGGACUACAGCAGGUAGCCAGCCCUACCAUAAAAGAAUUUAAAAGUCAAAUGCUGACCGGAGAAUACUCUUGCUCUGCUAAACCAGAACAAAAUCAGUGGCUUAAAAGUGACAGGUUAUCUAGAUAUGGGUCUGUGUCUGCCCUCACAGUUCCUUAAGCUAAGAAUUUACUGUUUGGAAGGUCACAGUCCACCAUGUCAAAACCUAAACUCAGUCACAUUUAAAUCCCCCCUUUCUUCAUGUUUUAUUUUCUGCAAGCAUAUUAGGAUUUUUAUCAUCUUCCGUAGUUGAAAUAGCAGUGCCUAUCUAAUCAAGAACUUGCACUUCUUCACAAGCAGGAAAAAAAGAGAUAAAAAGGUUAAGGACAACUUUUAUUGCUACCAAUCAGUACAUGGUUCUGACUGCAGUACCUUCUUCAGGCUGCACAGGGAGCUCAGGACCCAGAAGUCAUGAAGAGAAUACAGGUAGGCUGGGGAGGCAGGGGGAUUAACUUUUAUCAAGUAAAUCCUAAUAGCUUAACAUAAAACUAGGGUACUGAAUUCAGUUAUUACAUGUUACAGAUCCAAAUCAUAGAGCUGCCCCAACAUCUAGACAGUCGUCUCUCCUACUGAUUAUAAAUGAGUGAACUGAACAGUUUUUUUUAAAUCUAAUUUUAGUUGUUACAUGUUUCUUUGGUGAGCACCUGGAUAUAUUAACUUUAUCACAAAUUCUAUUAUACAAAUGUCAAAAAUGCUUCCAACAAAUCUUAAGAGUGUCCUAAUCACAUGCCACUUUUAAGCUUCAAUUUAAGAUAAAAAUGAAAAUAUUGUUUCCAAACUCUAGAAAUUGAAAGGAGACAAACAAAAAUCAACAUGGUAAUGGGAGUCCUUUUUCUGUUACCAACUCUGAUUCACAGGCAAUUUUGAAGUACCUUUUUCAGAUUAAGCUGAAUUUGAAUCAUGGAUUAUAAACAUGGCUGUCACUGAAAUAAUUUGUUCACUAAAUUGCUAAAAAUAAAUUUUCAGGGUUUCCUCAUCAGUGGAAGUCAGGCUAUAGGUCAACAUGCAUAAAAUUCAUUUAGUAUUCAAAGAAGCAGCAAGCAAAAGCAAGAGGAAAAUUAAAUCAGGAUUCUGGGACAAGGUUUGCUAGCUAGGAAUUUUGAAACUUUUUAAAAAAGAAAAAACACUGAACGUGAAUUUCUGACACAGGGUAAUCUACAUUACAUUUUAGCAGAGAAAAGGGUGGAACUGACAAACACUACGAAGAAAUUUUUUACUUAAAAAUUUUUUGAUCUUGAAUUUUACACUUUUUUUGGUCUUUAAGUGCUUAAAUAAUGUUGAAUUAUAAUUAGCCAUACAAGUCAACAGGUUUUUUUUUUUUCUGGCUCAUUUCGAAUCAGCCUGGUAAGGUAUAUACCUUUAUACAGCCUAUCCUGUUUUCCAUGUUCCCAUUCCCACAGUAGUCUACCUUAGUUUGCGCUUGAAGGUAACACCUGGAGCUACAUGACAGAAACAGGCUGCAAAGGUGGACAAGGGGAAGUAUGUCCCUCUUGCCUUGAUAAAUCAGUGCCACACACAGAACCCACAUUUUCUGAAGCAUUAUCUUCAUUAUAGAGCCGUUUGAUCCCA